rnacentral:rRNA from 1 species
UACAGAGGUCUCAAGCGUUUGUUCGGAUUCAUUGGGCGUAAAGGGUGCGUAGGCGGCGCGGUAAGUCGGGGUGUGAAAUCUUGGAGCUUAACUCCGAAACUGCAUUCGAUACUGCCGUGCUUGAGGACUGGGAGAGGAGACUGGAAUUUACGGUGUAGCGGUGAAAUGCGUAGAUAGUCGUAAGGGAAGACCAGUGGCGAAGGCGGGUCUCGUGG